rnacentral:rRNA from 1 species
CGAGAGGCUUCGGCAAUGGGGGAAACCCUGACCGAGCGACGCCGCGUGGAGGAUGAAGGCCCCUGGGUUGUAAACUCCUUUUGCUGGGGAAGAAACGCGAUCAGGUGAACAAUCUGGUCGUUUGACGGUACCCGGCGAAUAAGCUCCGGCUAACUCCAUGCCAGCAGCCGCGGUAAUACGGGGGGGGCGAGCGUUGUUCGGAUUUACUGGGCGUAAAGGGCGCGUAGGCGGCCCGAGAAGUUUUGGGUGAAAGCCCCCGGCUCAACCGGGGAAGCGCCUGGAAAACCAUCGGGCUGGAGUGCUGGAGAGGCAAGCGGAAUUUCUGGUGUAGCGGUGAAAUGCGUAGAUAUCAGAAGGAACACCUGCGGCGAAGGCGGCUUGCUGGACAGACACUGACGCUGAGGCGCGAAAGCCAGGGGGGCAA